GAUGAACGCUGGCGGCGUGCCUAAUACAUGCAAGUCGAGCGAACGGACGAGAAGCUUGCUUCUCUGCUGUUAGCGGCGGACGGGUGAGUAACACGUGGAUAACCUACCUAUAAGACUGGGAUAACUUCGGGAAACCGGAGCUAAUACCGGAUAAUAUUAUGAACCGCAUGGUUCAAAAGUGAAAGACGGUCUGGCUGUCACUUAUAGAUGGAUCCGCGCUGCAUUAGCUAGUUGGUAAGGUAACGGCUUACCAAGGCAACGAUGCAUAGCCGACCUGAGAGGGUGAUCGGCCACACUGGAACUGAGACACGGUCCAGACUCCUACGGGAGGCAGCAGUAGGGAAUCUUCCGCAAUGGGCGAAAGCCUGACGGAGCAACGCCGCGUGAGUGAUGAAGGUCUUCGGAUCGUAAAACUCUGUUAUUAGGGAAGAACAUAUGUGUAAGUAACUGUGCACAUCUUGACGGUACCUAAUCAGAAAGCCACGGCUAACUACGUG
rnacentral:rRNA from 1 species